rnacentral:lncRNA from 1 species
GAAGUAAGGAGAGAUAGAGACUUGAAAUUUUGAGUUUCUCUCACCCCAUAUUGAUGAUGGCUAAAAAUGAAGACCGUGCUAGAGUAACUGCUGGAGCACAUGUUUUACUCGUCGUCAUCUACUUUGCAUAUGGAGUAUGAGAUGGACAAACUUGUGGGCAUGCACUUAGCUAGCCAACAGUGUUUUAAGAGUUAAUAUAUUUUGCUCUUGCAAAUUGAACCGACGUAGAUAUAGUUACUAGGCUGCAAUGCAAUUUACUCCUGUUAUUCACAUCGGCAGAGCAGGUUAAUAACCAAACAAUCCAAUCUGCAUUAAUUAGGGCUCCUCUUAAUUUUCAAUUAUCAAUUGUACCUCCUCAGAUAAUUGUCUUCACUUAAUUUCCAGGUUGAUAACAACGGCUGCAUAUAAUGACGGCGAGCUGGGUAGAGCCCUCGCCGUCGGCGAUAUAUAUAUACCGACAGGAAAUGGCAGCGAUCGAAUGGGGUGGCCUGAGGGGCUCCUUGGAGGC